CCUCUGGGGGGCGGGGAGAAACGGCAUCUGAAAUAAGCAGCCCAAGCGGUAGCAUCCUACUUUGACUGCCCCAAGCAUUUAUUCCCUUCUCACCAGUCCUUUCCAGACGCUAGCUAACAUAUCCCCUCCCGCCCGCGUUCCUUUCUCCCAAGUAAGCAGCAGCUUCCCGCCAGAGGCGAAGCGCAGCCUGGCUAAGCCAGGAGGAGGAGCUGACAGGCAAGCGGCGCCUCCCAAAGACACUGAGCUUGCGGCUCGGGGCUAGAAGCAGCAGCAGCUCCCUAGACGGAGGGGCGGUAGCAAGAAAGGGCGGCUUUGCGCUUGCUCAGCCGCCGCCCAAAAGCUGGGACCGGGGUAAAGCCGGCAGGUCCCUGCAAAGGGCGGGAGCCGCGGCUCCUCCAUCUUCUUGUGGCGUAGGGAACAGGCCCUGGCGGCGGCGGCGGCAGCAGCAUCCUCAACAGGGACUACCGGGAGGAAGGAUGCCCACCGAGUGAAUUCUUCCAAUCCCACUUCGUGAAGGGGCUGGCCCUGGCGGCCCAGAUGCAAAGCGAAGGCGGCCCUCAGGACAACGGCAGCGCCUCCGCGGCCGAGCAGCCCCAGCCUGCGGCCCCUUCCUCGUCGGCCCCAUCUCCGAUGGAGCUGGCUUGGAGCGAGGAGGGCCAUGGCCGCAGCGGGGCCCCCGAAGGUGCCUUGAGCCUCAACCCCCGGCAGCAGCAGGAGCUGCAAGAUGAGGUGGAGAAGCUGCAGGAGGAGAACGAGGCCCUCAAGAAUGAGAUAGAUGAGCUGAGGACUGAGAUGGAUGAGAUGAGAGACAGCUUCUUUGAAGAGGAUGCCUGCCAGCUACAAGAAAUGCGCCAUGAAUUGGAGAGGGCCAACAAAAAUUGCAGGAUCCUUCAGUAUCGUCUUCGAAAGGCAGAACGGAAGAGGCUCCGCUAUGCACAAACUGGGGAGAUUGAUGGAGAACUUCUGCGUAGCUUGGAACAGGACCUGAAGGUUGCAAAAGACGUUUCAGUGAGACUUCACCAUGAGCUGGAAAAUGUGGAAGAAAAACGCACUACCACAGAAGAUGAAAAUGAAAAGUUGAGACAGCAGCUUAUUGAAGUAGAGAUUGCUAAACAGGCUCUGCAGAAUGAACUUGACAGGAUGAAAGAGCAGUCUAUGAAAAGAAGAGGAAGCAAAGACUUGCAGAAAUCAGAAAAAAAAUCUCAACAGAUACCCACUGAGGAGGACAGUGAAGAUCUGAAAUGCCAGUUGCAGUUUGUCAAAGAGGAGGCUGCCCUGAUGAGGAAAAAGUUGGCCAAAAUAGACAAGGAAAAGGAUAGGUUUGAACAUGACCUGCAGAAGUAUCGGUCAUUUUAUGGUGAUCUAGACAGUCCAUUACCAAAAGGGGAGGCUGGAGGGCCUCCUACCACAAGAGAAGCAGAACUCAAGCUUCGUCUGAGAUUAGUAGAGGAAGAAGCCAAUAUUCUGGGAAGGAAAAUAGUGGAACUGGAAGUAGAAAACAGAGGACUGAAAGCAGAGCUCGAUGACUUAAGAGGAGAUGAUUUCUCAGGGGCAGGCAACACCCUCAUGGGGGAGCAGAACGAAUCUCUCUCAGAGUUACGGCAGCAUCUGCAGCUAGUUGAGGAUGAAACCGAACUGCUGAGGAGAAACUUGGCUGAUGUAGAAGAACAAAACAAGCGCAUCACAGUGGAGCUGAACAAAUAUAAAUACAAGACUGGGACUCAUGACAGUUCUAGGCAUCAUGACAGUGCCAAGACAGAAGCGCUCCAGGAAGAGCUCAAAACUGCCCGCAUGCAGAUCAAUGAACUUAGUGGUAAAGUUAUGCAACUUCAGUAUGAGAACAGAGUCUUGUUGUCCAACAUGCAGCGCUAUGACCUGGCCUCUCAUCUAGGGAUCCGGGGCAGUCCCAGAGAUAGCGAUGCUGAAAGCGAUGCAGGGAAAAAAGAAAGUGACGAUGAUUCUCGUCCUCCACACCGCAAAAGAGAAGGGCCCAUUGGUGGGGAAAGUGACUCGGAGGAAGUCCACAACAUUCAUUGCUUGACCCCCACUAGAUCCUUCUAUCCAACACCAGCAGGGUGGCAGAAAAGUUUCACAGACCGGCAGCAAAUGAAGGACAUCCGCUGUGAAGCUGAACGCCUGGGCAAGACAAUUGACCGCCUGAUUUCGGACACAAGCACCAUCAUAACAGAGGCAAGAAUUUAUGUGGCAAAUGGGGAGCUGUUUGGACUUAUGGAUGAUGAAGAUGAUGGCAGUAGGAUACGGGAGCACGAACUUCUUUAUCGGAUAAAUGCCCAGAUGAAGGCAUUUAGAAAAGAGCUCCAGGCCUUUAUUGACAGACUAGAAGUUCCAAAGUCUUCAGAUGAUCGAAGUACAGAUGAACCUUUGUCAGUGAGUCAGAAUGUGUUUUGUUUUCUGGGAGAAUAUGCAGAAACUGGAGAAUCAAGAAGAAAGAAGUGCCUGUGCAAAGUCGUCAAAGCAGCAAAAGCAUUUCAAUAGACUUCUGAGGGGCCACCAGCAUGUUUCAUGAUUGGAGGCCAAGCUAUUUAUUUGGUCAACCAUGCACAGCUGACAAGAUCCAUCUACAUUGUGCUUGAAAAGCUUCUGCAAAAUUAUGAAAAAAAUGACUUCCUUGUUCAGCUCAGUUUCACAAAGAGCAGAGACUGCAGCCAGAUUCUGAAUCUGCCAAGAGCAGCUCUAGGAAAGUGUGCCAGGCAGACCAAGGAAUGCAGGACCAGCGGAACAAUUCAUCCAGGCACAUUGGAUUUUACACCAAGUAUGGCAAAGAGAAGCAGAAAUGUUAUUGAGGUAUCUUUGCCAGCUAAACAGUCAGAUGGAAAUGCUUCUCUCAGCCAACUCAGCCAGCCACCAGAAGGACCUCCAGGUCAUUGUCAGCCCCGCCUGCUGUCUGAAGAACUACUUUGAAUGGACUGGAACUUUUCUUGAGGGAUCUUAGUGGGUCUAAACUCAAAAAUGGAUUCAAAAUGGUUCUGAAAGUGCCCAACCUCAUAUGGACUCUCUUUUUCAUGCUUCUGACUGCAGCGAGUUCUAUGCAAUCGGAUGUUGGUCUAUAGUAACCCGGUCUUUUUGACUUGCUGGAGAAAUGGUUUUGAUUCUUAGAUCACCCUUACAGUCUUCAGUGUUUUUAUCAAUAACAUAAGAAUGCUUAUAGAUCCUUUUAUAACUCACAGACAUUUUUCAUUUCAAUGACAUAUAUUGAUAAUCAUCUCCCCCAUCAGUUUUUUUAAUUUAAAUAAUGUACAGUUCUGUAUAUUCUGUCUUUUCCCACAAACAGCAGGAAGAACUGCUGUAUGCAUGGUCAUGUGUUUGUAGGUGCAUGUGUUGGAAUAGGAAGUAUUUAGGAGAGACAAAUUCAAUACUAGUUCUGACACUGAAAUUAUAACAUAUGCGUACACACACACUUGUAUGGUUUAUUUUGAAGGUUUGAAAAAAAUAGCUCUGAUAAUUGUAUAUCUUUUACAAGUUUUACAAGCUGAGUAUUUGAUAUACAGAAACUAACUAGGGGCAUUUUUAUAACUGGAAAGCAGUGAAAAGGCAUUUGCGUAUAUACUAGAAGGAGAUUAGCUCAGUAGACUGAUUCCUCAUUCAUGUUUGAUGCUCCUUUUCCCUGCUUUACUUCUCUAAACAUUAGUGUUCUAGAUCAAAAUUAGCUGGGCCCAUUUUUCUGAAUUAAAUGAACUACUGUUCAUAACUGCAUUAUCUUCCAUUCAAUGCUUAUGUCUGCCAUUCAGUGUCACAUAGCUCAGAGACUGGACUCCAAUGGAGGGAAAAGAGCAAGACAGAUGGUCGCACAAUGUCUCUGCGGAGAACUAAACCUUAAAAGAAACAUAGGACUUCUAGUACAACUGGCCCCAUGUCCAUUUCUCUACCAGCUGCAGACAGUGAUAAGGAGCUGAAAUGAGGGAACACAUUGUAACAAUGUCCAGACAUGAAAAAAGUUGACCUACAUGAUGUGAAAGGGGGAAGAGGACCUUGACAAGUGGGGGUUGUUUUUGGUGACAGUCUCAUAGUUCUUGCAAUGUUUCUUUCCACCCUUAAGCAAUUUUCCCCUUUCCCCCAAAAUAAUUGCCUUUGAAGACAUAGCCAAGUCAUAUAUGCAGUUACUGUUAGAGCUUGUCAGGUGUCAGGGCUUGAUCUAAACUGAAUGGAUUUGAAAUAAGGUUUUUUCUUAUUACAAUGGUCCAUACUGCAAUCAGAGGCUCGGAUCUGGCAAGGCAAAAAGCAGAAGUAUCAGCAACAGUUGAAAUAGAAUGGUCUACUGUUCAUUGGGUUUUUUUCUUCAUCUACUACUGGGCUUCAGAUGUCCAAGUCAUUCUGCUCCUGUGAAUGAUAGCAGCAGUUCUCAGUUAUGAGGUUUGCUUGCAAUUUGGCAUAAAGUACCUACCGCAUCAAGAUAGCUUUGCUGGGUUGCCAGAAAUCCUAGAGUAAUGGCACUAGAUGUAUUUGCUAUCAUCUAUCUCUGUGUCAUUGGCUGUUAGUAUGCUGUGUGUGUAGCCUGGUUGACUUUCCUUCCCAAUAGUCUGAAUGAAAUAUAGAUCCUGCUGAGCUGGCUUGUUAAAUGUUAUAGAAAUGCCUUCUUUUUUUAUGAAUUUUCCUUCAACUUAGAAGCAGGAGUGAACAGCAAUCCACUUGGCUUACUAGAAACCAAGACGAGGUGCUGCUAUAUCAGACUGGUUUCUUACAUUUCCCUCCCAUGCCACCUCAGAACAAGUGGUGUGUUCACAGGCAUUUCAGGCAAACUUUCAUCAUACUCUUUAACAUAUAUAUUUGUUUAAUGGGCCUUUCUUAAGGUUGCAAAGAAAGAAACUUCUGUUGUCUUGUAAAAAUGAUUGCAAUACUCUUGGGGAAAUAUCCAGAUAGUGAUUAUCUUGACACGAAAAGAGCCAAAGAAUAGGCCAGUUUAUAUAUUGCACUAGACACACUUUUUAAAAAUCAAAAUUCUCUCCUACAAUAACCUAUAUUCUGUGCCAACAAAAGCUGAAAUUAUGUGAUCAAAUUAGCGUACUUUUCAUAUUUUAGUCAGCUUCUGCUGGUGUUGGGGCACAGUGUGCAGCCCUGCUCUGUAAUGAUUGGAAAUCCUACUCAAACACCACCACCCCGUUUUGGAUAUAUUUUCAGGCAUUGUAAGCCUAUCUUUGCAGUCUAAAGGGACUAGAAACUUGGUGUGUGUGUGUAUAUACACAGAUUUAUACAUGAAAGCUGAGAUUCUCAGGAUGCUGACUUCUGCACCCAAAACCAGUUUCUCCAAUCACAUGGUACAAUCAAAAAAUACUCUUAGCUCUGGGAAGAAAACAUACCUGCAAUCUCUGUUUCCUCGUGCUUCGCUUUCUGAUACUGUUCAUUUCUACAGUGCCAAGAUAAUUGAUUGUGGCAAUGUAGCUAAUAUGCUUGUCGCUAUUCUGGGUAUCUGAAAGAGUACAGGAUUUGCCUGGUCCCCCUUGCGUCCAUGAUAGCCUGCUCUUUAUUAUCAAACGCUUACACUUAGAUAACUUUACCGGAUCAGAGACAUUCCCGUAGGAUCGGGGUGUGGGGGCUAAAGCUGUAAAUAUAUGUCAUUUCUUGGGUGUAAUCCCAAGGGGGCUUGCUUCUGAGUAAAAAUGAAUAGGGCUGCAUUGUAAAAUAUCAAAGCCAUAUUUAAAAGUUCAGCUUUUUAUACUUUCAUUCAAUUUAGUAAAGUUCAGCUUUCUGUUGUUUCAUUCAGUUGGUUCUUUGCCUGCAGAAGGUCCUAGGCUCAGUCCUCAGCACCUGCAGCUUAAAGGAUCUCAUAGAGCAGUAUUUCCCAAACUUUGGGUCCCCAGAUGUUGUUGGACUACAACUCCCAUCAGCCCCUGCAUCCAGCACGCCCAAUAGCCAGGAAUGAUGGGAAUUGUAGUCUAGCUGCAUCUGGGGACCCAAAGGUUGGGAAAGGCUGAUCUAGAGUGUCUCGGCUGUCAAGGUAGCACUGUAGAGAGUACUGAUAGUCCUUGAUAGGUAGUAACUUGGUGCAAGUCAACUGCAUAUGUGGCCAGUGAAUUUAUGUAAUGCUUUUAACUUAUAGUGCUUUAAAAUAAUGAUGGUGCAACACCGAUUGUGUGCAGUGUGAGAUGGAUCUUAUUCUAUUCCUAUUUUCUUUUAAUACCUUUCAUCUAAAAGGCAAGCUACCUUCUUCAAAAAAAAUACUAAUAUGGACUAUCUCCUGUUACCUCUAGUGCAGUUUUCCUGAAGGCUGAAAAAUGCACAAAUACUUGAAAAGUGACUAGAGAUGAUGCUCUGAGAUUGUGCCUAAUUUUUACAGAAUAUUCAAAGCAUCACUGCCUUUUUCAUUAGAUUUAUAUCCCACCCUUCCUCCCAGUAGGAGCCCAUAGUCUUGCUCUAUGGCAGGACAAGGCAGAGCUCAGGCUAUAGGAAUAUAAAGUUCUUCUGUUUCUUCAGCUACAAGCUGAGGCCUAUACUGUGUAGUGUCAACAGCUGCAUCCUUAUUGUUAGCUCCACCUGCACUGGCAGGUGUCUUUUCAGUUAAAGAGCACCUGCCUAUUCCAGUAGGCUUCUCCUGUGAUGGAGCAGGGGAGCCUCUGGGCUCACUGGGUCUUUGCAAUUGAAUCCUUCAGAUCUGAGGAUGGUUGUGCUGCAGGACUCUGGCAAUGGCCAGUUUCCCUUGUGUAUGGUUCAUACAUACUAAUACUGAAACAUUUGGUUUUGAGGUAUCCUGAUGUUUAUAAUCAGGAUACUUUAUAAUAAAAUGACUGGAGUCUAAGAUACAGUUGCCAAUUUUUUUCCUGGCAAGUAUUCAUCACAUGAAGCUUUUAUCAGCAGGCAGAUGUAGUGAUAGGAAAAUCACCACCUUCUAAAUUUCCUCCUGUGAUGCAGCUGUAGGAAAAAUAUUGACAACUCUAGACCAAAAUGACAUAGAUGCCUCCGUUAUCCUGGAAAAUAUUGGUGUACUCUUACUAUUUAAUUUAUUUCACUUUAGCUUUUUAAAGCCCUUUUACCAGCUGCCUUAGAUUGUUUAGCCUGCUUCUGAUCUGUGUCAUUUUCUUUAGCAGCAGCUACAACAUAUGAUGUUACAUAGCUCAAUGACAAAAUUAAAUAGGGGUUUUCCCCUUCCCAUAAGGAAUUCAUCUCUCUGUAGUCCCUUGAUUUGGUUUUAGUAUGUAGAUAACCAGGGCGCAGAGUGGUAAGUGGCGGUAACACAGCCGAAGCUCUGCUCAUGGCCAGAGUUCGAUUCCAACGGAAGGAGGAAGUCGAAUCUCCAGUAAAAGGGGUCGAGGUCCACUCAGCCUUCCAUCCAUCCGUGGUCGGUAAAAUGAGUACCCGACGUAUGCUGGGGGGUAAAGAAAGGCCGGGGAAGGAACUGGCAAUCCCACCCCAUAUAUACGGUCUGCCUAGUAAACGUCGUAAGACGUCACCCUAAGAGUCAGAAACAACUCACACUAUAAGUGCCGGGACACCUCUUUACCUUUAACCAGGGAUUUGAAUUCUAGUAACAAGUAAAUCGACUGUUGGCUGUUUGAUGUUAACUAUAUACUAAACCUGUUAAAAUGGAGCUGCCAUUGCAAAUACCGAAGGGAAGCUUCAGUCCAAUGUGGUAUCUACAACUUUUUAAAGCAGCAAUAAUAGUAUGAAAUAUGCUUAGUGGUGCAUAAGGAAAGAUUGUGACUAAUUGUGACUGUAUGGAUUCUAGUGUGCUGUGCUGUCCUGCAAAUUCUAAUUCCAACAGACUUAUUAGGACAUUUUUUUAAAACUACAAAGAAAGACCACAGGCAGGAGUUUGAGGCACUGCACCAACCACACAAAGGGACCCUGAUAUUAGUGAUGGGUUCACCGUAUUGGCAUAGCAUAUUUUGCCAGAACUCUGUUUCAGUAUUAUGCCAAUCCAUUCUGAUUUCCACUGAUCCCAACAGAAGAGGGUUCUGUAAAGAGGAGCUGGUGGUGGUAAUGCAGAAGGGGAAUGCUCAAGGGAAGAGCUAGGAGGGAGAUGGCGUGAUGCAUCAAUGUUUAUAGGGUACUGACAAGUUACUGCUGAUCUAAGAUGUAGUAAUUUCCUCUCCAGUAACCUGUAGCAAUUUAUGUCAGAGGGAAACUAGCACAGAUCUCUUACCUUCUGCCUGCUAAGUCCUGGUCAAGGCUUUCCCUCACUCUAGAAAAAAAGGUCUGAAGUAGUAUAUUAAAGCUGUGUCCUAAGCCCCAGCAAGCAAAGAGGAAUUUACUUCCAAGUUAGGAUUGAUCCGACAUGGUGCCAUCCCAUGCAUACUUGUGAGUAAACAUGCCUAGGAUUUGGCUGCACAUCAUUUCUAAAUUGCUUUUGUUUUAGACCCUCAUGACAGAAUUCCUUCCCUUUUCUCAUCCUGUGUCUUGGUAAAUCCUGAUACAGAUGUAUAUUCUUUCUGUACAGCUUCACAAACCUACACUGAGGUGUUCCUAUGCUGCCUCGCUUUUGAGAUGUACCAUUGUGUUUGAC